UGGGGAAUAUUGCACAAUGGGCGCAAGCCUGAUGCAGCAAUGCCGCGUGAGUGAAGACGGCCUUAGGGUUGUAAAACUCUUUCGCUAGGGAAGAUAAUGACGGUACCUAGUAAAGAAGUCCCGGCUAACUCCGUGCCAGCAGCCGCGGUAAUACGGAGGGGACUAGCGUUGUUCGGAAUUACUGGGCGUAAAGCGCACGUAGGCGGACCAGAAAGUUGGGGGUGAAAUCCCGGGGGCUCAACCCCGGAACUGCCUCCAAAACUAUUGGUCUAGAGUUCGAGAGAGGUGAGUGGAAUUCCAAGUGUAGAGGUGAAAUUCGUAGAUAUUUGGAGGAACACCAGUGGCGAAGGCGGCUCACUGGCUCGAUACUGACGCUGAGGUGCGAAAGUGUGGGGAGCAAACAGGAUUAGAUACCCUGGUAGUCCACACCGUAAAACGAUGAAUGCCAGUCGUCGGGUAGCAUGCUAUUCGGUGACACACCUAACGGAUUAAGCAUUCCGCCUGGGGAGUACGGUCGCAAGAUUAAAACUCAAAUGAAUUG
rnacentral:rRNA from 1 species